CUGUAAAGUGUGAACAAUGAUGACAUCUACUCUUUAGAGUUAAAAGAAGAAAUAUGCUUAAGGAAUUUAGGAUAGCACCUGGAGCAUUAGCCUUAUCAAGAAGAGAAGUCUAAGGGAGAACAGAUUGGUGGUUGCCAGAAGCAGAGGGUGAAGGGUGUCUAAAGAGAUUGUCUAGCUCAGGUUCAAAGAUGAAUCUAUGUUAUUAAAAUGGAAGAAAAUGGCGCUCUUUCUUUCUAAAGGAUGAUAUCCCUUCUCCAAGAAGACUCUUGGGAAAAUCCAAGGUAAA